rnacentral:ncRNA from 2 species
GCGUGCUCGUCGUCAACGCGUAGUCUGAGCCCGUUCUGGAGCCAGGAACCCGGUGCGAGUCCGGGGCGGUUCCGCCACUGUGAAGCCCGAGAGGGCCAAGCCAGACACUGACGCCAGGACAAUCCCGCAC